rnacentral:rRNA from 1 species
CACGUAGUUAGCCGGGGCUUCUUAGUCAGAUACCGUCUUGUCUCGUUCCUGCUGAUAGAGCUUUACAUACCGAAAUACUUCUUCACUCACGCGGCGUCGCUGCAUCAGGGUUUCCCCCAUUGUGCGAUAUUCCCCACUGCUGCCUCCCGUAGGAGUUUGGGCCGUGUCUCAGUCCCAAUGUGGCCGUCCACCCUCUCAGGCCGGCUACUGAUCGUCGCUUUGGUAGGCCGUUACCCUGCCAACUGGCUAAUCAGACGCGGGUCCAUCCCAUACCACCGGAGUUUUUCACACAGGAGCAUGCGCUCCCGUGCGCUUAUGCGGUAUUAGCACCUGUUUCCAGGUGGUAUCCCCCGGUAUGGGGCAGGUUACCCACGCGUUACUCACCCGUCCGCCACUAAGAUACUCAUUUCCAAAGUGCAAGCACCCUUCCGUCAGCAUCCCCGUUCGACUUGCAUGUGUUAAGCUACGCCGCCAGCCGUUCAUCCCUGACGCCAGGAUCAAACCUCUA